rnacentral:rRNA from 1 species
UACGAAGGGGGCUAGCGUUGUUCGGAAUCACUGGGCGUAAAGGGCGCGUAGGCGGCCAUAUAAGUCGGGGGUGAAAGCCCGUGGCUCAACCACAGAAUUGCCUUCGAUACUGUAUGGCUCGAGACCGGAAGAGGUAAGUGGAACUGCGAGUGUAGAGGUGAAAUUCGUAGAUAUUCGCAAGAACACCAGUGGCGAAGGCGGCUUACUGGUCCGGUUCUGACGCUGAGGCGCGAAAGCGUGGGUAGCAAACGGG